UAGAGUUUGAUCAUGGCUCAGGACGAACGCUGGCGGCGUGCCUAAUACAUGCAAGUCGAGCGCGGGAAGCAAACAAAUCUCCUUCGGGAGUGACGUUUGUGGAACGAGCGGCGGAUGGGUGAGUAUCACGUGGGCAACCUGCCUGUAAGAUCGGGAUAACUCGCGGAAACGUGAGCUAAUACCGGAUGAAGUCUUACGCCACCUGGCGUAAGGAUGAAAGAUGGCCUUUGUGCUAUCACUUACAGAUGGGCCCGCGGCGCAUUAGCUAGUUGGUGGGGUAAUGGCCUACCAAGGCGACGAUGCGUAGCCGACCUGAGAGGGUGAUCGGCCACACUGGGACUGAGACACGGCCCAGACUCCUACGGGAGGCAGCAGUAGGGAAUCUUCCGCAAUGGACGAAAGUCUGACGGAGCAACGCCGCGUGAGUGAUGAAGGUCUUCGGAUCGUAAAACUCUGUUGUCAGGGAAGAACAAGUGACGUUCGAAUAGGGCGUGACCUUGACGGUACCUGACCAGAAAGCCCCGGCUAACUACGUGCCAGCAGCCGCGGUAAUACGUAGGGGGCAAGCGUUGUCCGGAAUUAUUGGGCGUAAAGCGCGCGCAGGCGGUCCUUUAAGUCUGAUGUGAAAGCCCACGGCUUAACCGUGGAGGGUCAUUGGAAACUGAGGGACUUGAGUACAGAAGAGGAGAGUGGAAUUCCACGUGUAGCGGUGAAAUGCGUAGAGAUGUGGAGGAACACCAGUGGCGAAGGCGACUCUCUGGUCUGUAACUGACGCUGAGGUGCGAAAGCGUGGGUAGCAAACAGGAUUAGAUACCCUGGUAGUCC
rnacentral:rRNA from 1 species